AGAAUUUCCUGUUUUGGCGAGGCUGAAAUUUCAGACGGCGGCGCCUUGCUGGAUAUUGAAAAGGAACUGAGACGAGAUGUAAACAAAUGGAGCAGCCAACCUCACAAGGCCAGAAGAGAGGGCGGCACGGAUAGUGCAGUGGGUAGCACUGCCACCUCACAGCAAGGAGGUCCUGGGUUCGAAUCCCUGUCGGCCGGGCCCUCAGAGUUCGCAUGUUCUCCCCUUGUCUGCGUGGGUUUCCUCCAGUUACAAGACACGAUGAGCAACACACCCAUGUUACUCAGGCCCACUAAAAAGUCUCCCAACCCGCAUUUUUUACUUCAUGGAGUUGCAGAAAAUCAUACGCAACACACUCAAGUCGCUCAGAAGUUUCCGGAAUAUGGCCCCAGAAGCCAGGAGCGGCGGACAUUCUGGCAUCUGGAGGAAAUCUCCCGUACAAACGAGGUGACCUUUGGAAGUCAGCGGGACCAUAACGGACCUCCCCCGCUGUCUGUUCAGCAGCUGCUACGGAAACCUCGGGUGUGUUUGGUGGAAAGUGCAGAGCUUUACCCGUCUCUAUAAGCGCACAGAUACACUCAAGCGUCCCCAGGCAGCUCUCUCAGCCGUGGCCUGGGGGAGACGACUUGCUCUGACUGUAGCCCAGAUGAGAAACAACAACGCGCCGUAGUUUUGUUUUUGUGUGUUUUUGUGUGAAAUACCCGCUUGUUAUGUUACGAUGUUAACUUACGUGUGUUGUGUUUAUUUGCCGUGCUCUGGCUUGUUUGAUUGA